UGGCCAUAGCAAGUGAAACAAAUGUGUGCAGGAGUUCAGUGUGAAUAAAGUAAACCUGAUAACUUACAAUCUUUACCUGGCAAAAUGUGUGUGUGUGUGUGUGUGUGUGUGUGUGUGUGUGUUUAGGAUAAAAUGUGUAGCCAA